GAUGAAGAACGUAGCGAAAUGCGAUACUUGGUGUGAAUUGCAGAAUCCCGUGAACCAUAGAGUCUUUGAACGCAAGUUGCGCCCGAAGCCAUUAGGCCGAGGGCACGCCUGCCUGGGCGUCACACGUCGUUGCCCCCCCAUCUACUCCUUCGGGAUUGCGGGGGGCGGAUGAUGGCCUCCCGUGCGCCUCGUCGCGCGGUUGGCAUAAAUACCAAGUCCUCGGCGACGCACGCCACGACAAUCGGUGGUUGCGAAACCUCGGUUGCCCGUCGUGUGCGGUCGUCGCGCAUCGAGGGCUCGAAAAAAUUGCCGGGCUCCGGCUCGGCUUUCAACGCGACCCCAGGUCAGGCGGGGUUACCCGCUGAAUUUAAGCAUAUCAAUAAGCGGAGGA
rnacentral:misc_RNA from 1 species